rnacentral:rRNA from 1 species
UGCCAAUGGGCGAAAGCCUGAUGCAGCAACGCCGCGUGAGGGAUGACGGCCUUCGGGUUGUAAACCUCUUUUAGCAGGGAAGAAGCGAAAGUGACGGUACCUGCAGAAAAAGCGCCGGCUAACUACGU